AGACGGCAGUCUUGAGAGAGCAGGUGGGGAUUUGGGAGAGGAGUGCAAGGAGCCGUCCUGGCAGGCACAGAGACCUGGAGUGAGCGCUGACAUUGGAAAGUGUCCAGGUAGCGAGUGGGUGGUAAGCUGGUGUCUGCGGGAGGGACCCCUGAAAUCCAGAGUUUGUCUUUGGGUGAUGUCACUGAAGGGGUAAAUAUUUUGGCUGGGUUGGCAGGAGUGAUCCAGCAAGAAUGGAUGAGGCUUGAAUUAAAGUGAUGGAGGGAGAAGGAGGAGUUUGAGAGAGACCGAGAGGAGGAUGCAAAAACCUUCAUCACCCGAGAGAACCUUGAUGCUCGGAUAGAAGCAGCGUUGGACUCCCCAAAGAGCUACAACUGGGCCAUCACCAAAGAGGGACAGGUGGUCAGGCCACAGCACAAGGGCAACUAAGGGCCCAGUAAGGACAGUGCCUGCCCAGGGACUGUGUGUGUAUACGGGUAUGACCUGGGAUAAAACAGGUGUUUCUUCUGAAGAAGGAAGCUCAACCUGUUCCAUUGUGGCCCUCUUGUUUUGGCCUCUGCAUCUACCACUUGACCAGUGCCCUUUUCUGCCCCAUGUACAACUGUCAGCACAGCACUAGACCCUAAGGUUUCCAUCUUACAGAGGGGCAGACUGGACCAUAGGCGUGAGGUCAUCUCCUGAGUAUCAUCGAGGGUGAUCAGCAGUUGGCAAAUCUGGUCUACUACCUGUUUUUGUAAAUAAAGGUUUGUUUGAAUACA